AGCAGCCGCGGUAAUUCCAGCUCCAAUAGCGUAUAUUAAAGUUGUUGCAGUUAAAAAGCUCGUAGUUGAAUUUCGGGGUUCUACCGUUGGUCGGGCUUCGUCUGUACUGGCGUGUAGAAUUUCUACCUUCUGGGGAACCAUCAUGUUAUUAAUUUAACGUGGUGGGAAACCAGGACCUUUACCUUGAAAAAAUUAGAGUGUUCAAAGCAGGCUUAUGUCUGAAUACAUUAGCAUGGAAUAAUAAAAUAGGACGGUGGUCCUGUUUUGUUGGUUUCUGAAUCACCGUAAUGAUUAAUAGGGAUAGUUGGGGGCAUUAGUAUUCAAUUGUCAGAGGUGAAAUUCUUGGAUUUAU
rnacentral:rRNA from 1 species